CACAGUCAUCACAUGGCUGGCGGGAC
rnacentral:piRNA from 1 species